ensembl:lncRNA
AUGGCGGUCUCAUGCGAGCCAGUACAUCAACUUCAACUUUCCUCAUUUUCUAAAUACACGAAGCCUUCAUUUUCACGCAUGAUUAAUAACAAAUGGACUGUUAUCUUCUUGGGGACGGCUGGCCAAAUACGACAGGAGACACUACAAGAUUCGAUAAGCAGCCUGUUUAGCGAUAGUGGAGGGGUGAAUGAAAGAAAGCUUGGAAAGAGAGAUGAAGCAGGGACUAGUCACACUCUACAUGCGCUGCAUGGCAUAAAGACGGAGAAGGACCAUCUUAACCCAUUUGAUCUUCACAAGCACCCCACUAAACGUCCCAAUAUGCCCAACAGACGGAAUCAGGCUGGCUGCCAGGAGCCCGGUUUAAAACACGGGUCAGCCUUAGAGUGACCCAUGUGGAGGAGCAGUCACCUCAAAGAACGCUCCAGAAGGUUGCCAAAGCCGCAUAAAACUGGGCCAAACUCCUGACUGAUGAUACAACAUCCCUCCAUCAGGGAGCAUUUCUUGAUCACAAGCAAAUGCACACAAAAUUGGGGAAAAUGUAGUACUGUACAAUAUUAAAUUCUGGCCGGUACUGCUAAGCUGAUAAUUAUCUCUACAUUAUUGCCGAUAACUGAUGCAUGGUCAAUAUUGAAAUUCUAUAUCUAUUUUGUCUAAACAGAUUAAAAAAUAAUAAUAAAAAAAAAAUCUAUUGUCUAUUGAAGUAAAAA